UGACGAAACACACGAGCAGAGGGACGACAAAUCAAAACAAAGUCACAACCCAAAUUUAUGAGCACAAGUUGGUCAGGGAAAAGAAAGUGGAGUGAUUUUCGGAUAAUUAGGAGGAAGUUUGAGGAUUAGGAUUUUGAUUUAGAAUCGAGGAUUCGGGAGAGGAGUUUGUGGGCCGGGUGAACAACAAGUAGACGGACACAAAUUCGAACCACACGCGGAUAAAUCCGGGUGGUGAUUCACGGAGGGAGGACAAGACGGUUUAGGACGGAACAGGACAGAACCGCUGUCUUUGUACGACUACAACACAAACGUAGAACACAAAUCCGGAUCGGGUUGGACGGAAAACAGGAAACAAACAAAUUCUUUGAUCUGCCUUAAAUAAAUUGGGCUGAUUCGCAAGGAGGUUUAUUUCCGUUGGCGUCCAGAACAACAUGAAUCCCAAAUUUCUCUCACAAUUUGAUUUUCAAAACGAGUUAUAGAAAGUCUGUUUCUUUUAAGAAUAGUAGCUGAUUAAAAAACCGUAAAUCAUAGAAGGCAAAAUCACCGUUUUAUACAUAAGUUUACCUAGACGCCAAGUAGGUUUAUAACGUUUACAAAAAGCUAUAACCAUUUUUGCAAUUUUCAUUGUGGAUGAACAACGGAUACGUGUGGUCAAUGGCCUUGCUAAAUCAGUCGUUAAAUAACUACCCAGAUACCUCAAUUUGUCUACAACAGGGAAUGGUUCAUUGUCUAACAAAAGGCUAUUAGGAGUAAUGCAAUCUUUAGACGGAUGUCUGAUAAGAAUAUUACUUUUAUCUUUAUUGAUUUCUAAUCCUACACGUGCAAAAGCCAUUUUCAAAUGUUUGAUUAUUAGAUCAAGAUCUCUAACACUAUUCGUAAUUACCAAAAGGUCAUCAGCAAAAGCUAGGAUAAUAGGCAGCUUCAUAUUGUUUUGAUCUAAUAAAUUCAGUUUCUUAAUUAUUUUUUUAACCUCAAUCAGAACCCACUGUAUUAUUAAAAUGAAAAGAAACGGAGACAUACUGCAACCUUGCUUAAUGCCCCUAUUUUUAACAAAUUCAAUUUAAAUGUGCUAAU